rnacentral:rRNA from 1 species
UACGAAGGGGCUAGCGUUGCUCGGAAUCACUGGGCGUAAAGCGCACGUAGGCGGAUUGCUAAGUCAGGGGUGAAAUCCUGGAGCUCAACUCCAGAACUGCCUUUGAUACUGGCGAUCUUGAGUCCGGGAGAGGUGAGUGGAACUGCGAGUGUAGAGGUGAAAUUCGUAGAUAUUCGCAAGAACACCAGUGGCGAAGGCGGCUCAACUGGCCCGGUACUGACGCUGAGGUGCGAA